rnacentral:rRNA from 1 species
UACAGAGGUCCCAAGCGUUGUUCGGAUUCACUGGGCGUAAAGGGUGCGUAGGUGGUGAGGUAAGUUUGAUGUGAAAUCUCCGGGCUCAACCCGGAAAUGGCAUUGAAUACUAUCUUGCUAGAGGAGUGGAGGGGGGACUGGAAUACUUGGUGUAGCAGUGAAAUGCGUAGAUAUCAAGUGGAACACCAGUGGCGAAGGCGAGUCCCUGGACACUUCCUGACACUGAGGUGCGAAAGCGUGGGGAGCAAACAGG